UACAGAGGUCCCCAAGCGUUGUUCGGAUUCACUGGGCGUAAAGGGUGCGUAGGUGGCGAGGUAAGUUUGAUGUGAAAUCUCCAGGCUCAACCUGGAAAUGGCAUUGAAUACUCUCUCGCUUGAGGGUCGGAGGGGGGACUGGAAUUCUCGGUGUAGCAGUGAAAUGCGUAGAUAUCGAGAGGAACACCAGUGGCGAAGGCGAGUCCCUGGACGACUCCUGACACUGAGGCACGAAAGCUAGGGGAGCAAACA
rnacentral:rRNA from 1 species